rnacentral:rRNA from 1 species
UACAGAGGGUGCAAGCGUUAAUCGGAAUUACUGGGCGUAAAGCGUGCGUAGGUGGUUCUUUAAGUCAGGUGUAAAAUCCCUGGGCUCAACCUGGGAACUGCAUUUGAUACUGAAGAGCUAGAGUGUGAUAGAGGAUAGUGGAAUUCCCGGUGUAGCGGUGAAAUGCGUAGAUAUCGGAGGAACACCAGUGGCGAAGGCGGCUUCCUGGACCGACACUGACGCUGAGGCGCGAAAGCUAGGGGAGCAAACGGG